rnacentral:rRNA from 1 species
AAACACAAUUUAAUUAUUUUUACAGUUAGUCAAAUUUUGAAUUAAUCUUCAAAACUUUCAACAACGGAUCUCUUGGUUCUCGCAUCGAUGAAGAACGCAGCGAAAUGCGAUAAGUAAUAUGAAUUGCAGAUUUUCGUGAAUCAUCGAAUCUUUGAACGCACAUUGCGCCCUCUGGUAUUCCAGAGGGCAUGCCUGUUUGAGCGUCAUUUCUCUCUCAAACCCCCGGGUUUGGUAUUGAGUGAUACUCUUAGUCGGACUAGGCGUUUGCUUGAAAAGUAUUGGCAUGGGUAGUACUAGAUAGUGCUGUCGACCUCUCAAUGUAUUAGGUUUAUCCAACUCGUUGAAUGGUGUGGCGGGAUAUUUCUGGUAUUGUUGGCCCGGCCUUACAACAACCAAACAAGUUUGACCUCAAAUCAGGUAGGAAUACCCGCUGAACUUAAGCAUAUCAAUAA